AUACUACUUUCUCCGUCUAACGAAUGAUGUCUCAACUUUGACUAAAUUUGAAUGCAUCUAUACACUAAGUUAUGUCUAGAUACAUUCAAAUUUUGACAAACUUGAAACAUCUUUUGUUGAACGGAGGGAGAAUGAG
rfam:Brachypodium distachyon strain Bd21 chromosome 3, whole genome shotgun sequence.